AAUUUAAUAUUUCCCGGAUAAUUAUUGCCGUUCGAUCUACUCUUGGAAUAUCGAACGAAACGUUAUACGUUUUAACCUGUUAAUUGUGGAUUUUAGUUUGAGAAAUCUCUCGUUUUGCACGCAAUAAAAUCAAGGAACGAAGCGUGCAUUCGUCAAACGCAGUACGAUUGCGACUAGGGUAUAUUUUAAUGGGAAACCAAAGUGAAACGGAGAAGAAUUACAUCGUGAUUAUUCAAAUGAUAUAUAAAAAUAUUUCCUCGAAAGUAUCCUUGGCACAGUUCCUAACCGAAUACGAUGCUAACGUGCUUGACUCGACAGAAAUUACGGGCAGGUAAUUUUUUGAAACUGAGAAAUCCCGACGUCAGGAUUGGAUGGGAGUAGGGCCAGGUAGCGUGGAGCGGAGAUGAAUAGCAGAAUCGAUAAAUUCUGCCUUCAUUCGACCGAAUCUGGCGUAUCGGCACAGGAAACGUUUUAAGAUCCGUUGGAGUCCUGGAAGUAUCUCAGCUUUUCUAAGUGCUCCUCUUUGAACAACGGCCCGGCCCCUCAGCUGCCUAUUGUUCGUUAUCUCUGUCUACUACGCAUAGGGGGCGAUCUUAUAUAUUUUCGAGGGGUUCAGAACUAUAAUGGCGUGAAAACAAAGGACAUCGACGUCUGGAACACCUGGAACCUUUUUUCUCUCUUUAAAAAGCUAGCUCCGCGUAUGUUUCGAGUUUUCCUGAGACGAUGAGAAUUUUUGGUACGCAUGGAGUUAUAAGAGCGGACAUAUUGAAAAUGCCUAGGAAGUAAACAGCGGAAAUACAUUCCUUUUCGCGCAAGAAAAUAAGGCUUCAGUUACUUACGUAUCUCAUUCUCAAUACAUGCGACUGAAAGUGCACGUAACUAUCUAGCGUAGACGUUGCACUCAAAGGAUGAAUUCAUUGCAACAACAGAUUAUGAAAUUUACGUAAUUAAACAUGAAAUGUUAUUCAUAAGAAGCCUGAAUCCUUUCUAAUUUUUCCAUGUAUUUCAUAUUUUUAAAUUAUGCAUAAAUAUCUAAAAUUUUAUAAUUGGUAUGUGUUUUUAAGGAAAGGACUUUCGUAUAUUAUAAAUUAUUCAGGGGGGAUUUCCUUUUUUCUUAGACAAAAAUAUCGAUACUUUAGGAUUUUUUAUAAACAAAAGUGUAACAUUAAUUAUUUUGAAACUUUGUAUAACUUGAAAAUUUUUUCAAUUCAGUUCACUUAAAAAUACAGUUUGAAUUGCCCGUGAACUAGGACGCUCCGCAAAAUUGCUUCAUUAACGAUUGACAUGAUAUCUGCCUUCCAGUUCAUAUGAAAUCAAAAAUUCCAAUGAGAUUUUAUUUUAUACACAUGUAAUUAUCGUUUGAUUUACAAUGAAUAAAAAAAAAUUAUUUUUCGAGAAAUGGUAACUUAGAUGUUCGUUUUUUCGCAAAAAAUUACCCGAACUUUUGGAAAUUAAAAAAAAUAUAUACAAUCUAUUGUUUUGCCUGUAGAUCAAACAAUAAAAGGAUCCUUUCUUAACAUUCAGUUAAAAUUUCAAGUUGAUUGAUCCAAUACUUUUUUUUUAAAUCAUGUCAACCAGCUACAAAAAAGUGGUUUCGAGAAAAACGCGUAUAAAGUUUGUAAUGCAGUUACUGAACAAAUAUCAGGUAUUUACAACUAAUCAGAUAUUCCAGGUCUGUAUAUUAUUCCUUCCUCUUACUCGUUGAAUUGAUUUUUUUCUAAAUUUGCUGAUUUUUCUAAUCGCCAAUGUACACUUUAAUAAAAGUCCAUAAUUUUGACAAUUUUUGUGAAUUUUAAUUUAAAAUUUUGCAGAGACAUUCCUACAAAGUUAAACUACAAGAUUCUGUAAAAAACAAAAAAUUGAUUUUUUUACCAAAAGAAAAGAGAAUCCCAUCUUAAAUUGGAAAAAAUUAG